CUCUUUAUCCAUCACUGGUAGCCACCUUAGAAGCAGCUGCUUGAGUGGAAGUUUAAACUAAGAGAGUUCAUUAGCUUUUAAUGUCUGAGCUCAAUGUGUACAAAUAAGAUAUUUAGUUAGGUUUGAGUUCAGAAAAUUAGCAGUCUGCUAAUGUUUAUAUUCACACAAGCAGAUUAUGAAUAUGACUAAGUAAAUUAGAAUAUCUUGUUCAAUAUCUUGGUCAAUAAGCUAAUUGUAUUCAGCAGUACAUAUGGCACUGAGCAAUUCUGAGCUAAGCAAAGGGGAGAAAAAAUGUACAGUAAUGACAAAUUUCUUAAGUGUUUUAAUGAGUAAAAAAUGGUUUCAAUUACUGUAGUUACAAAAUGCUAUGAGGUUAUCCUUGCACUCUUGCAUCUACUGAGGGGUGUUGCAGCCACAUGUCUUGUCAUUCAUUUUAGUGUGCUCACAUUGACACACUGUUACAGUUACUAGUUACAGAACUAGCUACUGUAAGUGUACUAGACAGGCCUACAGUUUACUUACAUUCUGGCAUGUUCUCCACACAGGUAUGCACUAUUGAUCAGCAGGCAUGAAAUAUGCUGGGAGUUGUGCAAUUGAUAAAGAAUACUAAGCAGAAAUGUCUUCCUGAAACAUUAGCAGAAAUAAAAACUUCCCCGUGGCCUUCAUGCAGGAUAAACAAUGCUAAAAUUGGGCAUGUCCUCAUCUUUUCAGUGCCAGUUGGUUAUAAUGAUUCUGUUUACAUGUACUUCAUACCUUGUACAGGAAGUGCCUAAGAAAAUGUUUGAUUUCCCCACCUUGUCUGCAAAGCUAUAUGAAUUGGUACAAAACGUGUUUUUUUUAAAUGCAUGUGCAGUACUGAUUGUGUAUUUUGUGUAGAUUUUAGGGUCAUAUUGUAAAAUUAUCAGUUUUGGUACAUGGUAGAUGUAGUUGUAUGUUGGUUUCUUUAUACCCUGGGAAUUUUGUUGUUAGUUUAGUUUUGUUUGUUUAGUUCAGUAUCUGAAAUGUCUAAUAUGUGAAUAUACUUAUUCUCUAUUAAAUGGCAUCAAAUUUGAUUAAGGACUAAAUCAGUGCUAAAGUAUUAUUACUGCCAUUCUACUUCUCAGUUUUUAAGUGUACUUAUUACACUCAAAAUGAGCCUUCUUGAUUAGAAAUACAAUAAGAGGCUUAAUGGUAAGAACUACAUAUUUAUUAAAAACAUUAGCACAAUGUCAUUCCAGUGGAAGAAUAGUGAUGAUGCAAUCAGAGAAAUCCCCCCUUCUUUCUCAAACACACACACACACACUAAGUAAAGGGAAAAGAAGGAAUGGAACUUAGCAUGAAAGAGAAGUGGAUAUCUGCAAGAGAGAAGGGGACAUUAAUCAGUUUUUCAAGCAAGAAGUGUUGUGGUUUAUUGGCAUAGGAGAUAUUCAAUUGCCUUGUAAGCUGUAGUUUUUAGGAGCUUUGACAGGAACAAGUUGCACUUUUCCAGUUAUGGUGAAAGAAAGGCACUCCGCUGCAGUUAUUUAGGCUCCUUGUCAUUUGUCUGUUUAUACCCCUGUUUGCUCCUCUUUCUCAUCUUUAAGUCUCUGUAUCAGUGCCUGUUUUCUGGUCUGCCAAACUAUAGCCUUGAUCCUACAGUUGUAUUGGAGUUCCCUCUUCUUGCCUUUGCAAUGUCUCUCUCCCCACCUACAUACAAGUGCUUCCAGCCACAAGGCUCUCCUGCUCAAAUAUGUGAUGUUUACUUGCCAUGGGUCACCUUGUUUAUCCCCACAACCCCAAGUCUCCUGGCAUGCACAGAAGGAAGGAUGGAAGACAGGGAGGGACUUCGGUAUGUUACAGGAAUAGCCUACAGUGUUCGUAAAGGGUUUUCCUCAAUUGCUGUUUCUAAGCUUAAACUGCUGCAUAAGUGAAAUGAAAUGUUUGCCUCCUUUCCAGAAUGCAGACAGUUCUUGGAAGACAACCCAGAGAGAUUUAGAUAUCAAACAGCAUAAAUCUCAACCACUGUCUUUUAAUCCUAUUGAAACCUGCUCACAAUACUGCGUUCCCAAAGUUCUGUGUGCUUGUCAGAAAACAUGAUGGGCAGGGUUGACUGUGUCAUUAACCAAUCAUUUGGAAAUUGUGAGAAAUGCAGGAAUUCACCCCCCUCCCCAAUGUUUCUUAUCUUCUCCAAACCAAGGACAGAAGGCUGAAAAGAGUUUCUUGUUAUAAUGCAGUUAGGAGAAGAGAGCAAAGCUCUCGUUUGUCUUCCUCACUGUAAACUGAGUUAUUUGGAGGUUAUUAAGAGUACUGUGAGGACGUGGGUAGCGCUGGGGCCUAAACCACUGAGCCUAGGGCUUGAGAAUCAGAAGGUCGGCGGUUCAAACACCCGCGACGGGGUGAGCUCCCGUUGUUUGGUCCCAGCUCCUGACCAACUAGCAGUUCGAAAGCAAGUCAAAGUGCAAGUAGAUAAAGAGGUACCACUCCUGCGGAAAGGGAAACGGUGUUUCCGUGCGCUGCUCUGGUUUUGCCAGAAGUGGGUUAGUCAUGCUGGCUGCAUGACCCAGAAGCUGUACGUCGGCUCCCUCGGCCAGUGAGAUGAGCGCUGCAACCCCAGAGUCAUCCAUGACUGGACCUAACGGUCAGGGGUCCCUUUACCUUUACCUUUAAGAGUACUUCUACCUUUACUGAGACCUGUUGUAUUGGCAAGUAGAGUUGGUGAUGCCUGCUUUCCUUUUGCUUCUGUCUUUUCCCAAUUCCCUUUCCCUGAAAUUAUUUCCUAUACUGUAUGUAUUUCUAUGACAGUAUUUUUAUUUGCAGCUACAUAUUCUGAACUAUAUGAGUGAGUAUUGAGUGAGUAUUGAGUGAACUGUUCAUUAGUUAUAUAUUGCUGUUUGUUUGUUUGUUUACAGUAUUGUCAGGCUUAUUUUCCACCUGACUAAAUAGUUUCAGUGAAAUCCUGGUUAAGAAAAGAUCAUAACCUUUUAAAAACUAGAUUUAAAGAUACACCUUUUGUAGAAUGGCCUUUGGAGAUUGAAAUAUGACGCUUGAUAUUGGGUUAGAAUAAUUGGGCCAUAUGUAUACAAUUUACUUUAAUUGUUGAAUGAAAUGGGAUUUUAUUGUUGCAUCUUUUAUGUAUUUUACUGAUCAUAAAUCAUAUUGUGGAAAGCUAUAUAGAAAAAUAAAUAUUGAAAUGGUAGAAAAAUAGAAGUAUUGUUGGUGUCUGAUACAGUGGUUAGAAAAUUAUGGAAACUGAAAGCAGCUAAAUACAUUGACUAUACUGAAGGAGAGUAAUGAAAAUAAAAUGUGACCUCUAACAUUAUAUGUAAUAUAUGGUUUUGGAAAAUCCAUAUUUUCCAAAAUCAUAAACAGAACAUAGAAGCUGUAAUUCUUUGAGGCUCAAUAAACACUGUUCUGUAUUCCUGCAAGGAAUUUUAGCUGCUGUUCCUUCUAUUUUGUUGUACACAUUUGUUUUUAGUAAACUUUUCUUAGGUUACCUGUCAGACUCACAGCCAGAUGUGGCUUUAAGUUGAUGGGGCAUGCAGCCAACUCCUAAAACAUUUUCUGCUGGCAAAGACAAUGAUAGUAUGGAAGGAGAACCCACCCUUAAGAGCUGCCAUAUGACUACCGAAAUCUGCUCAGCUCUUUUCUUGAGUUUCUGAACCCAGCCUUUUGAUUACUUGAAAUGCACUUAAAUUAAUUCAGUGUUAUUUGUUUUUGUGGAAUAUAACCAGGUUCAGAUUACCAUCUACAGGGACAUGUUCUCUGGUAGUUAAAGGUCCUAUGUAAUGUGGUAAAGGGCAUGUUCUUGUCAAAACUAUGCAGGGCAUUUUCCCCUCUAUAGAGAUCAGUUUUCACAGGGGGGUGAAGCAUUGCUUACUUCUCGAAGUCCAGACAAGAAUCUAGCAGUGACAUAAACACUUUAAGCAUACUGCAUUUUUUGUAUUUGAAAUAAGGAAAAGCAAAUGCUGUUUGGGUGCAAACACACCAGCCUUUUGAGAUUUCUUAAAAGCUUCUCUUUCCAUAUACACCUCAAACUGUUAGUAUUAGAAGAGUGAUGUAUUGUGACUAACAUUUGCUAGAGAUGCUUGUUGGGAAAGUUAAAUUAGUAAGCUUUAAAUAUAUAACCUUAGGAAGCCUAGCUUAGAACGGUAUGGAUUGGUUCAUAGCAGACAACUGUUUUUAAUAAAUUUGGUUAAACAGAAUGUACAUUUGUUCCAGGCUUUCCAAGAAAAGUAUGAUUCAUAUAAGGUAUACCGGAAGGAUAUAGGACAGUAGAGGCCUCUAGAUGUUGCUGGUCUGCACUUCCUGUCAUUUUUGACACUUGGCCAAGAUGACUGAGUCUGAUGGAAGGAUCACAGAUUAGUCACCCUUGAAAUAAACAGUUCAAAUAAAUAUUAUUUUGGUGUUGAGAUUUAUGAUUAUCUCCUAAAGAUUCCCCCCCCAUCAAUCAUGUUUAGUAUGUUUUCUUAGUAAAAGUUAUUGUUGUUGUGUAACUUCUUACCCAAUCACAUAAUCUUCAUAUUUUGAAAUGGAAUCGCUACCCUUAACAUACUGUCUUGAGGAGAGCUGUGUUUUAAAAGCUCUUUGCUCAGAAAGUGCCAAGAUUAAAAGGACUGUAUGGUGCCACUCUGGUCCAUAAAAGCAGCAGAUGAUCAUUCAUUCACUAUAGUUGAGUGUGACUUGCAUCCUCUGGCCAUGACCUUCAAAACUGGCUUCAGGAUGCAUAUUUGGUACUGUGCACAAAGAUCUCCAUUCUACUCAAAUGGUAGCUGCUGUUAGCUUGGCAUUCAGAUAUGUAGAAUGGUGACAUGUGUUUUAAUCUGUUUUUAUUGUUCUUAUUUUUGAAUGUUUUAAAUAGUUUUUAACCCUUUUUACGGAUAAUUUUACUGUUUCAUUCAUUUUGUAAAGCACUUUGAGGUUUUUUGUUUGUUUGUUUACUGUCAACCAGAUUAUAAAUUGUAUGAAAUAAAUUCAGCACUAGCUCAUCUCUUCCCAGGAUAGAGAAAAAGUGGCUUCUGUAGCAAGCCUUUCUUUCUCGAAUUGGUGAUCAUAUCUGGCAGUACUUUGUUUUGAGAAUGCAUGCAGCACUUUUUCAACAGAUGGGGACAACACAGGUGAAGGUAAUUUUUAUUACAACACUACUGUAAUCUGUUAGAGUAGAUUUCAAAGCAGGUUUUUUUACUUUUCUUUUCGGAGCAAACUUCAGGCAUGGGGAAAAUAUGUUUUCUGAAGCUGUACCUAGAAGCAGUAGCAUUAAAAGGUGGUUGAGGCAUUUAAAGGUUUAACUGAACAGCUGUUCAUAAGCACUUAAAAAAAACUUUCCUAUUUUCUGUUUGCUGUAAACUGAGUAUUACUGUAUCACAGCUAUAAGAGCAGUUGGUAUCUUGAGUUACUAGAUGCCUGUUUUAGGCUUUUAAAAAUGAGAUGACAUUUAAAAUCUUACUUCCUGUGCAAUAAGAUAACAUUUUUUGUAUGAGCUUGCUGUUUUGCAAGGCAGUAUAUACAGUAUUUCAAAAAAGCAUAUGGUUAUAUUAGCAUUUUAUAUUCCUAGAAAUGUUGGAGAUUUCAAGUAAUGUCAUUUGCUACUUUAGCCAGCAGCACAACAGAUUAUCACUGAGUGUCAUUUAGCAGAAGAUUUGGUCUAGGCUUUCGGGUUUUCUGAUUAAUUCUGGGAUGAUUUUCUGGGAUGAGCAGAAAACAGGGCAAAAAGAAAUCCUGUAAACUAGUAGCAAACACCUUCUGUCUGUGUGUGCCUUUAUGUAGCCAGACCCACACUAUUCAUACACACAAAACGGACGUAUCCACAGGUGUGAGUGAACUCCAAUGUUUGCAGAAGUAUAACAAAUCCUUAGGCCCCCCCCCCCAGAAGCAAGUCAAUGAAGAUUGAACAUACUGAGGAUGUGUGUGAAAACAGGAGGAAUUAAAUUGACUACCCUGGAAGAGGAUACUGUAAAUCUAGCUUACUGGAACACUUGUUACAAAUACCUUGGACCUAGAGAAAAUCCUCCUAAUUUUCUUUCCCAUUCCCAGGUAUCAUUUUUCAUGGAGGGUGUAAUGUUGUUCAUCUUCUCACUGGGCCCUUGGAAAGGAACAAGGCUGGCAUUGGCCUGGAUAGAGUCAAAAGGAACACAAAAAUAAAACCACAGCUAGGAAGGACCUAUAAUUCUGCAGUGACGAUUCUUACGUUCCAGCCUUUCAUAGACACUACUGCCUUUCAUAGAUACCUCUUUCCCAAAGUAUAAAAAACCAUUAACUCUGCCAUGUGUACAUGAACACACUACAACCAAAAUAGAAAUUUUAAACCUUAUUCAGUAUUUGUCAUAUAUUGUUGUGUUUUAUUUUAGGAAUGAUUCAUGUAGGAAGAUUGAAGUGUAGUAAGGCUCUGAGUCACUCAGAAAUGUUUGAGCAGAAAUUUGGGGCAGUAUGUGAAACAGCAUAAUCCUUCUUUCUUUCUUUUUGGUUGUUUGGUCCAGAAUGCAAAAGGGUUCAUAUUGCUACUAACACUUAGGAGAUGAGACACUAGCCAAGAUAUUUACGGUACCUUAGUCUGGAGUUUAUUACAUCGAAAUAGCUGAAAUUCUUGCAGCUGUGUAAAAAAAGGAAGAAAAUGCCAGAUAAAUGGGGAUAUCAUAUAUUUUGAGUACUUUACCCAAAGCCGCCAGAGACGGAAAGCAACCAAGUUCCCUUUCCUCCUGGCAUGAGGAAGUGGAGUACAUAAUCUAGUCCAGCUGCACUGAUUUGCUGUAGUGUUCUGUUGCAUAGGUUAGUAUGCAACAGAACGUAGUAUGUUCUGUUAGUAUGGUUAGUAUUUUUUGUACUUUUCUAGCUGUAUUACAGGCUCAGUUAGGUGCUAGGUUUAAGAGUAUUUUAAAAUUUAGAAUGUAAACCCUGAAACAAGUUUUGUCUGGGGGGGGGGGACAUAGAACUUAUCUGUAGAUAUUUAAAGUAGAGCUAAAGACAAAGACAGAUUCAACAGUUCCUGGUUCUGCCCAGGAGGAUAGAUCAGAACCAGAGUGUUAAUAAUAACCAGAUGCUGGUGAAUAACUUUGCACAAUCGUGUGCCAACAAGCCUCUUACUGGUAUUGUUCUGAAGUGCUAAUGUUGGUGUUCUGUCAGAAGCAGAAUAUGUUUCCAGUGCAGCUAGUAUGACCCCUGUCUUGUUUCCAGUGCAGCUAGUGUGCCCCCUGUCUUGUACACUGUUGAUUGUGGAAAUGUGCUCUUCCUCAUGCGGAUUCCAGUCUGAAGGCUUAUACCAUGCUAAUUGAUUAGCUAUCAGGGUCUGCCAAACAGUUAACUGCUAUCAACUAAUUAUGACUGAGACCCCAAAUAAAAAAAAGAUCACUUAGGAGAUGAUGGGAGGCAGGUUUAAUUAUUAAGAUAACGUCUCUUUCCCAUGGGAGUGUGGGGAGAGAGAUGAGGAUAAUUUCUUACCAGGCUUCACAUUCUUUGCAACUAUCCACCGAUUGAUACUACAUCAGCUACAUUGAUACUGAUUAAAAAAGAGGCAGCUUUUUUCUUAUUUUCCCUGACCGUCUGCUAUAUAUGGCAUAUUUAAAUAAUGAACUACUUGUUCAAUAACACUAACUGUGUGAGGGUCUGACAAGUCACCAACAUUAUCUGAGUUCUUUGGCAUGACCAUGAUCUUAUUAGAACCAGAAACUUGGUAUAUGGUGUGCUCUUCUAACUCGUUUUGCAAAAUAUGCCCCCCCCCCGAGUUGUCCUUUUAAUCUUACUGAACAUGCUUGGGCUUCUGUUACAGCUUGACCAGACACAGCAUUACGGUAUUGCCAGUACUGUUUUCUAAGACAUUUCUUCCUGCCUCUAGAAAACUAGCCAGGAAUUCCUUCAGCUUUGAGCCAAUGCUUAAAGAGGCACCAAUGUUGGUUUCCAGUUAAGAUAUGUGAAAGUAUGUGUAUAGACAACUCAUCAUAAACAGUAUUGUGGAUUUAAUUGCUUGAAUUCUACGCCAAGUCAUUAGGUGAUUGAAGGCAUGCCUAUUUUACAUGCCAGCUCCAUUCCAUUCAGCUCAUAACAAAAGCUUAGUAUAUUGACUAGUCAUAGUUGCCUUUAGUAAAACUAAGUGCUCAAGUUAUCUCAGCUGGGCCCCGAGGCUUCUAGAAUUAGCAGAUAAACAUAUAUACAGUACAUAUUACCCUUCUCCAUAUGUCUCUAGUGCAUGUGUUCCCCCCCCCCCCUGAAAAAGGCUCAUUGUCUGGAUAUCAUGUCCUAUUAUAUGUUCACUACCUAAUUGACUGGCAAACUCUCACUCCAAAACCUUGCCUAAGAAAGAGACAUUUGUAACUAGGCAGUAGUUACUAUAAUCCAAAGAAUGCCCAAUGAAGUUAUAUUCAGAUGUGGCCUUUGCAUCCACGUUCUUGAAGUAGUCAGGGCCAUCUCUUCUGCCAAAGAGCCAUUUAUAAUAUCCUGAACCCAGGCAGACAGUCCCUCAUUACUAGAAAUUAUAAGUUGUGGAAAGCAAAGGUGCUUACAACAGAUAGGUCAGACCCCCCCCCCAAGUUCCUUGUUCACCUCCUGUUGUGCCUACAAUAGAGGCUAAUCAUGCAAUACUAGCUUAAAUGAAACACUGGCCAUUUUCUGGAUGUACCUAUUUAAAAAUGUGGCAUCUAGUCCAAUGUGAGUGAUUUUGUCUUUAAGGUGAUUAUUAAAUAUCUGGCCUCCAAUGGUUCCCUCAACUUCACAUGGCUCGAGCUGAAGUAGGUUCUGAGCCAACUGUCUAGGUUCUGAGCCACUCUAUCUCCUCCUAACCUGUUUUAUUGGUUUGAGAUCUCUAAACCAAAGAGCCAAGCAAGCUUUACAGUGUGGGAGAUGGCACUUAGGAGCUACUAAGUUUAUUGCUUUGGCCAUCUUUUCAUUUUACAAAGUGACCAAAGCAUUGCCAGAAUUGCCAAGCAUACCUACCAGAAACACAUCAGUAAAAUCAUCCAACCUACAGAAGUACAUGUCUUUCUGAAAAAAGUCAAGAUGACCUCUGCAAAGAUAAGUCCCUUUUCAUGAACCAUUUGGGUUCUUUGAGAGUUCUGUCCUAGGCUCAUUGUUGUUCAAUGUCUUUCUAAAUGACUUGGCAUGGGGCGCAUCUGGCUUACUAGCAGUACAUAUGAAAAGGAUCUAGGGGUCUUGGUGGACCACAAGCUUAACAUGAGUCAACAGUGUGUUGCAGCAGCAGCAGCAGCA